rnacentral:pre_miRNA from 1 species
AAUAGAUGACGCCAUUGACUUUUUUUCACAUGUUUGACCAUUCGUCUUAUUCAAAAAAUUUACGUAAUUAUAAUUUAUUUUGUUAUGAGUUGUUUUAUCACUCAUAAUACUUUGUGUGAUUUAUAUCUUAUACAUUUGCUUAAAAUUUUUGAAUAAGACGAAUGGUCAAACCUGUGAGAAAAAGUCGACGAUGUCAUCUAUU